AUUGAACGCUGGCGGCAUGCCUUACACAUGCAAGUCGAGCGACCGGCGGGCGGGUGAGUAAUGUCAAGGAGACUGCCAGAUGGGGGGGGAUAACCACAGGAAUCGGUAGUUCAUAACACGUCCCAUACGGCGGACCCAGGGGUGGUUAGCUAGUGGGUGGGGUAACGGCUCAGCUAGGCGACGAUCCCUAGCUGGUCUGGGAGGAUGACCAGCCACACUGGAACUGAGACACGGUCCAGACUCCUACGGGAGGCAGCAGUGGGGAAUAUUGGACAAUGGGCGCAAGCCUGAUGCAGCCAUGCCGCGUGUGUGAAGAAGGCCUUCGGGUUGUAAAGCACUUUCAGCGGGGAGGCGUUACCCGCAGAAGAAGCACCGGCUAACUCCGUGCCAGCAGCCGCGGUAAUUC
rnacentral:rRNA from 1 species